ACGGCUUUGGUAUAGUGGCUAGCAUUCGAGGUUCCCAACCUCGCGACCCGGGUUCAAACGCUCAAAAAUCGAAGAUUUUUGGCGUGCCAAAAACAACAAGUUUUUGAGCAUCCCGGCAACCGUA
rnacentral:tRNA from 1 species